rnacentral:misc_RNA from 2 species
AACGCACAUUGCGCCCCUUGGUAUUCCGGGGGGCAUGCCUGUUCGAGCGUCAUUAUCACCCCUCAAGCUCAGCUUGGUGUUGGGGCCUGCCCGUCACAGGGCAGCCCUUAAAAGCAGUGGCGGUGCCAUCUGGCUCUAAGCGUAGUAAUACUCCUCGCUAUAGAUGUCUGGUGGUGUCCUGCCAAAACCCCCCAUAUUUUUAAUGAUUGACCUCGGAUCAGGUAGGGAUACCCGCUGAACUUAA